rnacentral:misc_RNA from 1 species
ACACCUCAACUCUCAUGGUUUUCCGUGACGAGCUUGGACUUUGGGGGUUUGUUGGCCCAUGGUUAACUCCUCUCAAAUGGAUCAGCUUGCCGGUGUUUGGUGGCAUCACAGGUGUGAUAACUAUCUACGCUUGUUGUUGUUGACCAGGUAUCCUCCGGUUUCGGAGGUUCGCCGGAGCUUAUAAAUGUCUCUCCUCAGUGAAGACAACUAUUCAAA